ensembl:misc_RNA 7SK 7SK RNA
AGAUGUGAAGGUGAUAUGGCUGCAACAUCUGUCACCCCAUUGAUCGCCAAGGUUGCUUCAGCUGAUCUGGCUAGCGAGGUCGGUGUCUCCGUCCUCCCUCACCACUCCAUGUGCACCCCUCCCGAAGCUGCGCACUUGGUCGAAGAGGACCACCUUCCUGGAAUAGAGACAGACUGGUCUUCGAUUGAGAGCAUAUGAGUAACCGUGCCCCCCUGCUAGAACCUCCAAACAAGCUCUCAAAACCAGAGAAAGAAAGACAAAUGGUCAUCAGAAGAUGCAGAGUUAGAAUU